rnacentral:rRNA from 1 species
GAUGAACGCUGACAGAAUGCUUAACACAUGCAAGUCGAUUCAAGUUACCUUCGGGUAAUGAGGAUGGCGGACGGGUGAGUAACGCGUAAGGAACUUACCUCUUGGUCUGGGACAACUGUUGGAAACGACAGCUAAUACCGGAUAUUAUGAGAUUCUCGCAUGGGAAACUUAUGAAAGCUAUAUGCGCCAAGAGAGAGCCUUGCGUUCCAUUAGCUAGUUGGUGGGGUAACGGCCCACCAAGGCGACGAUGGAUAGCCGGCCUGAGAGGGUGAACGGCCACAAGGGGACUGAGACACGGCCCUUACUCCUACGGGAGGCAGCAGUGGGGAAUAUUGGACAAUGGGCCACAAGCCUGAUCCAGCAAUUCUGUGUGCACGAUGAAGGUCUUCGGAUUGUAAAGUGCUUUCAGUUGGGAAGAAGAAAGUGACGGUACCAACAGAAGAAGCGACGGCUAAAUACGUGCCAGCAGCCGCGGUAAUACGUAUGUCGCAAGCGUUAUCCGGAUUUAUUGGGCGUAAAGCGCGUCUAGGCGGAAAAAUAAGUCUGAUGUUAAAAUGCGGGGCUCAACUCCGUAUUGCGUUGGAAACUGUUUUUCUAGAGUACUGGAGAGGUGGGCGGAACUACAAGUGUAGAGGUGAAAUUCGUAGAUAUUUGUAGGAAUGCCGAUGGAGAAGUCAGCUCACUGGACAGAUACUGACGCUGAAGCNCGAAAGCGUGGGGAGCAAACAGGAUUAGAUACCCUGGNAGUCCACGCCGUAAACGAUGAUCACUAGG